rnacentral:rRNA from 1 species
UGGGGAAUUUUGGACAAUGGGGGGAAACCCUGAUCCAGCCAUCCCGCGUGUGCGAUGAAGGCCUUCGGGUUGUAAAGCACUUUUGGCAGGAAAGAAACGUCGCGGGUUAAUACCCCGCGAAACUGACGGUACCUGCAGAAUAAGCACCGGCUAACUACGUGCCAGCAGCCGCGGUAAUACGUAGGGUGCAAGCGUUAAUCGGAAUUACUGGGCGUAAAGCGUGCGCAGGCGGUUCGGAAAGAAAGAUGUGAAAUCCCAGAGCUUAACUUUGGAACUGCAUUUUUAACUACCGGGCUAGAGUGUGUCAGAGGGAGGUGGAAUUCCGCGUGUAGCAGUGAAAUGCGUAGAUAUGCGGAGGAACACCGAUGGCGAAGGCAGCCUCCUGGGAUAACACUGAGCUCAUGCACGAAAGCGUGGGGAGCAAACAGGAUUAGAUACCCUGGUAGUCACGCCCUAAACGAUGUCAACUAGCUGUUGGGGCCUUCGGCCUUGGUAGGCGCCAGCUAACGCGUGAAGUUGACCGCCUGGGGAGUACGGUC